rnacentral:rRNA from 1 species
GACGAACCGUGCGAACGUUGUUCGGAAUCACUGGGCUUAAAGGGCGCGCAGGCGGCUGCUCAAGUCAGGCGUGAAAGGCCUGGGCUCAACCCGGGAAUUGCGCUUGAGACUGGGCUGGCUUGAGUGCGGGAGAGGAUGGUGGAAUUCCCAGUGUAGAGGUGAAAUUCGUAGAUAUUGGGAAGAACACCGGUGGCGAAGGCGGCCAUCUGGACCGUAACUGACGCUGAGGCGCGAAAAGCGUGGGGAGCAAACGGGG